UACAGGGGGGGCAAGCGUUGUUCGGAAUUACUGGGCGUAAAGGGUCUGUAGGUGGCCAACUAAGUCAGACGUGAAAUCCCUCAGCUUAACUGGGGAACUGCGUCUGAUACUGGAUGGCUCGAGUGUGGGAGAGGAAUGCGGAAUUCCAGGUGUAGCGGUGAAAUGCGUAGAUAUCUGGAGGAACACCGGUGGCGAAGGCGGCAUCCUGGACCAAUACUGACACUGAGGAGCGAAAGCCAGGGGAGCAAACGGG
rnacentral:rRNA from 1 species